CAUAUCUUCAUGGAAACCUUAAUCCCUAUUGCAUUUUGUGGUUUGCUUGAAAAUAUCUGGAAAUCCAUCACAGAGAUAAGUUUGUUCUUCAAAGACUUAUGUUCUACCCUUCAUCUGCUCCAUUUGCUUCAUCACCAGCUGGAUCGCAUCCAUCUAGAUUUCAGCUAACCGGAUCGCAGCAGUGGUCUAGAUCGCAUCAAGGGUCUAUAUCGCAGCAAGGUUUUGGAUCACAAUCAUCUUCAUCAGCGACCCCGUCUCCCUCUCUACAGAGUUCGUCUCCUAGCAUUUCUAGACUUCGCCUUCGGGAUAGUAUCAAUGAGACAGAUGCCCCCUUCUACGCACGCUUCAGAUUCAUCGGAGGAUGAUGAUCCGGAGGAAUUGCAGUGUGAUUGUUAUCAUAGGAUGAUCAUCAGGCCUGAGGGCAAUGAGUUCAUACCUAAUCAUCGGACUACAAAGAUAAUCACUGAAGCUUUUGGCCGGUUGUAUGAUGCACUCUAUGCGACUUGGAGUGACUUUCUACCGGAGCUCGUGGAGCAAAUUUUUAACAAAUUUAAGAUUAAGUGUUCCCGGGAGGACCGACAUAACAGUGAAAUUUGUGCAAAUUUUGUGUUCAAAUGCCGUAAGAGACUAUCUGAUUCCUUCUGCUCUGCUCGAAAGAAGAGCAAUAAGUCUUCAUGGGUUCUACCGUAUUUAUGGGAGGAUCAACCGAGGCAGUGGACCACCGAUAAAUCCGAGAAGAGAAGUGAAUAGGGAAAGAAGGCCCGAGCAUCUGAGAAGGAUGGCUCCUUACAUUGUGUGGUGCAAGGAGCAUGGGGACUACGAGGAGACUACUAGAAAAAUAAUAUGGGAGGAAGAUGACUCAUGAAGAGUUCUUCAUGGAGACUCACUUCCGGAAGAAAAAGGCACCGACAGAUCCAUCUAGAUGGGUCGAGGAUCGAGCAAAGACUGCAUAUGGUCACUAGAAGGCUAAUGUAGAGGAGUACACUCAAAGCUUGCCACUAAAUGAGCAAGACGAGCGACCACCCAUUUCAGACGAAGAAACGUAGAAGAUAUAAUUGGAUGUUGUCGGUGGUCCUAUAAAGGGGAUAGCAUACGGCCUUCCAGAGAGAUCAUUUCGGCACUACAGGGUUGGAUUACAAGGUAUAGGGACUUUUGCCUAGGGCGAGGCAAUUGAUACACUACUAGAAAUCCGGGCAAAAUCGUCCAAAAAAAUGACCAAAAUUGGUCGGUAAUGGCCAAUAAUUGUCCAAAAUGCGACCAUUUACGUGUGGACGGUAUUUUAAAGGUCGGAAGGGCAUACUGAUCAAAGUUGGUUGGAAAUUACCCACCAACUUUGGUCGGUCAAUUAAAUUCAAUAAAAAAAAUAUU